CCUACGGGGGGCUGCAGUGAGGAAUAUUGGUCAAUGGACGAGAGUCUGAACCAGCCAAGUAGCGUGAAGGAUGACUGCCCUAUGGGUUGUAAACUUCUUUUAUAAAGGAAUAAAACGUGGCACGUGUGCCUUUUUGCAUGUACUUUAUGACUAAGGAUCGGCUAACUCCGUGCCAGCAGCCGCGGUAAUACGGAGGAUCCGAGCGUUCUCCGGCUUUAUUGGGUUUAAGGGGAGCGUAGAUGGGUUGUUAAGUCAGUUGUGAAAGUUUGCGGCUCAACCGUAAAAUUGCAAUUGAUACUGGCAGUCGUGAGUACAGUUGAGGUAGGCGGAAUGCGUGGUGUAGCGGUGAAAUGCUUAGAUAUCACGAAGAACCCCGAUUGCGAAGGCAGCUUACUAAACUGUGACUGACAUUGAUGCUCGAAAGUGUGGGUAUCAAACAGGAGUAGAUACCCGGGUAGUC
rnacentral:rRNA from 1 species